rnacentral:rRNA from 1 species
UAGGGAAUCUUCCGCAAUGGGCGAAAGCCUGACGGCGCAACGCCGCGUGAGUGAUGAAGGUCUUCGGAUCGUAAAACUCUGUUAUUAGGGAAGAACAAAUGUGUAAGUAACUAUGCACGUCUUGACGGUACCUAAUCAGAAAGCCACGGCUAACUACGUGCCAGCAGCCGCGGUAAUACGUAGGUGGCCAACGUUAUCCGGAAUUAUUGGGCGUAAAGCGCGCGUAGGCGGUUUUUUAAGACUGAUGUGAAAGCCCACGGCUCAACCGUGGAGGGUCAUUGGAAACUGGAAAACUGGAGUGCAGAAGAGGAAAGUGGAAUUCCAUGUAUAGCGGUGAAAUGCGGAGAGAUAUGGAGGAACACAAGGGGCGAAGGCGACUUUCUGGUCUGUAACUGACGCUGAUGUGCGAAAGCGGGGGGAUAAAACAGG